rnacentral:rRNA from 1 species
UCCCCUAGUAACGGCGAGUGAAGCGGGAAGAGCUCAUGUUGUAAAUCUCCAGCUUGCUGGCGAAUUGUAGUCUAAAGGUGCGUGCUCAGUCGUGGUCCCGGGCUAAGUCUGUUGGAAAACAGCAUCAUGGACGGUGACAAUCCGGUUCUUGCCUGGGGUCCCGCGGCGUACGAGCCGUUUCCGACGAGUCGUGUUGCUUGGGAUUGCAGCACUAAGUGGGUGGUAAAUUCCAUCUAAAGCUAAAUAUUGGUGGGAGACCGAUAGCGAACAAGUACCGUGAGGGAAAGAUGAAAAGACUUUUGAAAAGAGAGUAAAAUAGUACCUGAAACUGCUGAAAGGGAAGCGAUUGAAGUCAGUGUUGCUCCUGGUCUUUUUGCCGUCGCCCCCGUGGGGGUUGCGGCGUGGGGCCUGGAGCGUUUCAACAUGCGUUCUGUUCCGCGGGAAAUGUUCAGUGUGCUGGAACCUUCGGGGAAACGCACUGUUCUUGUCGUGGUUAGGACGGAGGACCUUUGCUCCUUUGACUGCGCGUUCCUCUCUCGGGUAUGCUGGUGUCUACUGCUUGCAGUUUUCAUUUUCAUGCUUGCGACUGUGCGUGUUAUUCAUGAGCGAACAUGAUGUUGAAGAAAUGGCUUUUAAUUACCCCGUCUU